rnacentral:rRNA from 1 species
UACGAAGGGGGCUAGCGUUGCUCGGAAUCACUGGGCGUAAAGCGCACGUAGGCGGACUCUUAAGUCGGUGGUGAAAUCCUGGAGCUCAACUCCAGAACUGCCUUCGAUACUGGGAGUCUCGAGUCCGGGAGAGGUGAGUGGAACUGCGAGUGUAGAGGUGAAAUUCGUAGAUAUUCGCAAGAACACCAGUGGCGAAGGCGGCUCUCUGGCCCGAUACUGACGCUGGGGCACGAAAGCGUGGGGAGCAAACAGG